GUCUGUUGAAAAGAGAGGUGUUCUUUUGUGUAAAAGGCAGCAGUCUUUCUUAGCGCAGUCUCUUCUCUGAGCGCGACAGAGAUGUCAGCCCAGGGUAAAACAUGACAAGAAGAUCCCGAGAGAUCAUCCAGUCACAUCCACCAGCAUGUGAUGACAGUGCCGGAGUACCGUGCCCCACCAGCAGCUGUAAGCAGAAAAUAUUUGUGCUAAUAACAAGAUGACACCAGCAGAAAGAGGACCUGGGGACACAGAGAGAGAAUUUCUGGAAUUAAGGGAAUUAGCUGGAGGCCAGGUGGUGGGAGCCAUGAAUGCAACUUCUUUUGGCCCGAUCAGAGGAAAAUAUUCUGAACUUUAACAUCACUGGUUUGAAUCUGCAAUUCGGGCUGUGCUGUAAGAUCAUGUAAAGCUGAGGUGGUACCAGACAGACGUGGCACAGCUAUGCUGCUUUCUAAAAUACUGCGUGCUUCAGAGAGGAAACCUCGUUGUAGCUGAGAGGGCAAAAAGAAAGAACGAUUCCAAUCCUUGAACCUGUCUUCUCUUCACAUCAAUGCGAAGACUCCUCAAGGAAACUUUAAGACAACUGGGAGUUUUGCUGACAACUCUGAAGGGUUCAUACACACACUAUCUGAAACAAUGCCAGAAAACUCUGAAUGUGCUGCUUCUGGGGGGGUCGUUUUACUUAGCUGCAAAAGCCUUUAACCUUAGCGCAGUAUCACUGACGUGACAAUGAUUAACGUUUCACCUUCUUAAAAAGCCCAACAAUUGGGAUUAUUAUUAACAAGCAAAUUAUUCCUUUUAUUUUUCUUUUUUUCUCUCUCUGGGCCUUUUUUAUUUUUAUUUUUUUAAAUUAUUAUUAUUUAUUUCCCAGAGUUGUUUCAUUGGCUGCAAUCCUGGCUAGCAUUCCCCUUGAACUCUUCAUAAAUUGCCACAUAACCACGUG
ensembl:lncRNA